rnacentral:lncRNA from 1 species
UUAUAUCGCAGAUCUGAUUUGCCACAAUCCUUAAUAAUGAUCUCACUUUGAUCUAACUCAAAAGAUGAAUCUCAUGGUUUUGGACUCUUGAAAAGAUGAUUUCCAAUGCGAAAGUAGGGGUCUCCAUGAUUAUCGUUUGGUCCUUCAAGAUGAUAAGGAGUAGUAUUAGAACCAUAGUACAUAAAUAAAUAAUAAAAAAUAUAACUAUGACUCAUGGAAGUAUACCAUUUGGCCAUGUUAAGGAAACAAUAGGAGAAAGGUUUUUACAACCCAAAAUGAUCUUUACUUACACUUAAUUAAUUCAAAUCGACUAAUAAUUUGAGAAGGAGCAUUAUUGGAAAAUCAAGCAAUCUAGAAAGGAUCAUUACAAUGAAAGAAAGAGCUUGAUUAAAUUAAAAAGAGAAAUGGCUUAAGAAGAGGGAAAGGAAAAGAAAAGAAAUAUUUUUUGGUCACAGGGGGUGACAGCGAUGGCGGCGGCUUGGCGAUGGUCUGACAGUAGAGGAGCUAUGCCCGACAGUGGCUAAGCGACGGUCCAAUGGUGGUGGAGUUAUGUGGUUCGGCUAAGGAGAAGGGAAGAAAGGAGUAGGUGAAGAAAAAUAGAACAAAAGUGGAGGAAGAGGAGGACUUGAGAUGGCGCACGGUGGCAAUGGGAGGAGGGAGAUGAAAAGAGUGGAGGUGCAACAGCCAUGUGAGGUAGUGAUCGAUGGAAGGAGGUUUGGGUUACAGUGGAGGAAAAAAAGGAUGAUUAAAGGAGUGGUGGUGGUGGUUGGCCAAAAUGGAGAGAAAAAUGUGAGAAAAG